GCCACGGUAAUCUAGCGGUUAGAACGCUGGUCUUGUAAUCCUGGGGUCUCGGGUUCGAUUCCCGGCGGUGCCC
rfam:Zootermopsis nevadensis contig22116, whole genome shotgun sequence.